rnacentral:rRNA from 1 species
GAUUCUGGCUCAGGAUGAACGCUGGCGGCGUGCCUAACACAUGCAAGUCGAACGGAAACGUGACUUCCGCUGAGCUUCGGUUCAGUUGUUGCGUUUCAGUGGCGGACGGGUGAGUAACGCGUGGACAACCUGCCGUAUGCAGGGGGAUAACAGCCGGAAACGGCUGCUAAUACCGCAUAAGCGCACGGGGAGGCAUCUCUCUGUGUGAAAAGCCUUAACGGCAUACGAUGGAUCCGCGUCUGAUUAGCCUGUUGGCGGGGUAACGGCCCACCAAAGCGACGAUCAGUAGCCGGCCUGAGAGGGUGGACGGCCACAUUGGGACUGAGAGACGGCCCAAACUCCUACGGGAGGCAGCAGUGGGGGAUAUUGCACAAUGGGGGAAACCCUGAUGCCAGCGACGCCGCGUGAGUGAGGAAGUAUUUCGGUAUGUAAAGCUCAGUCGGCAGGGAAGAAGAAGACGGUACCUGCAGGGGAAGCACCGGCUAAAUACGUGCCAGCAGCGGC